AGUAGAUUAUAGUAAUGUCAUGGAGGUGGUACAGUAGAUUAUAGUAAUAAUAAUGUCAUGGAGGGGGUACAGUAGAUUAUAGUAAUGCCAUGGAGAUGGUAUAGUAGAUUAUAGUAAUGCCAUGGAGAUGGUAUAGUAGAUUAUAGUAAUGCCAUGGAGGUGGUACAGUAGAUUAUAGUAAUGUCAUGGAGGUGGUACAGUAGAUUAUAGUAAUGCCAUGGAGGUGGUACAGUAGAUUAUAGUAAUGCCAUGGAGGUGGUACAGUAGAUUAUAGUAAUGUCAUGGAGGUGGUACAGAAGAUUAUAGUAAUAGUAAUGUCAUGGAGGUGGUACAGUAGAUUAUAUUAAUAGUAAUGUCAUGGAGGUGGUACAGUAGAUUAUAGUAAUGUCAUGGAGGUGGUACAGUAGAUUAUAGUAAUAAUAAUGUCAUGGAGGGGGUACAGUAGAUUAUAGUAAUGUCAUGGAGGUGGUACAGUAGAUUAUAGUAAUAAUAAUGUCAUGGAGGUGGUACAGUAGAUUAUAGUAAUAAUAAUGUCAUGGAGGGGGUACAGUAGAUUAUAGUAAUGUCAUGGAGGUGGUACAGUAGAUUAUAGUAAUAAUAAUGUCAUGGAGGUGGUACAGUAGAUUAUAGUAAUAAUAAUGUCAUGGAGGGGGUACAGUAGAUUAUAGUAAUGCCAUGGAGAUGGUAUAGUAGAUUAUAGUAAUGCCAUGGAGAUGGUAUAGUAGAUUAUAGUAAUGCCAUGGAGGUGGUACAGUAGAUUAUAGUAAUGUCAUGGAGGUGGUAUAGUAGUUUAUAGUACUAGUAAUGUCAUGGAGGUGGUACAGUAGGUUAUAGUAAUGUCAUGGAGGUGGUACAGAAUAUUAUAGUAAUAGUAAUGUCAUGGAGGUGGUACAGUAGUUUAUAGUACUAGUAAUGUCAUGGAGGUGGUACAGUAGGUUAUAGUAAUUUCAUCCCUAAAGCCAACACCUCAUUUGGCCGCCUUUCGUUCCAGUACUCUGCUGCCUGUGACUGGAACGAAUUGCAAAAAUCGCUGAAGUCGGAGACUUUUAUCUCCCUCACCAACUUCAAACAUCAGCUAUCUGAGCAGCUAACCGAUCGCUGCUGCUGUACAUAGUCUAUUGGUAAAUAGCCCACCCAUUUUCACCUACCUCAUCCCCAUACUGUUUUUAUUUAUUUACUUGCUCUUUUGCACACCAAUAUCUCUACCUGUACAUGACCAUCUGAUCAUUUUUCACUCCAGUGUUAAUCUGCAAAAUUGUAAUUAUUCGCCUACCUCCUCAUGCCUUUUGCACACAUUGUAUAUAGACUCCCCCCUUUGUUUUCUACUGUGUUAUUGACUUGUUAAUUGUUUAUUCCAUGUGUAACUCUGUGUUGUCUGCUCACACUGCUAUGCUUUAUCUUGGCCAGGUCGCAGUUGCAAAUGAGAACUUGUUCUCAACUGGCCUACCUGGUUAAAUAAAGGUGAAAUAAAAUAAAAAAGUAAAAUAAACAGUAGAUUAUAGUAAUAGUAAUGUAAUGGAGGUGGUACAGUAGAUUAUAGUAAUGUCAUGGAGGUGGUACAGUAGAUUGUAGUAAUGUCAUGGAGGUGGUACAGUAGAUUAUAGUAAUGUCAUGGAGGUGGUACAGUAGAUUAUAGUAAUGUCAUGGAGGUGGUACAGUAGAUUAUAGUAAUGUCAUGGAGGUGGUACAGUAGAUUAUAGUAAUGUCAUGGAGGUGGUACAGUAGAUUAUAGUAAUGUCAUGGAGAUGGUACAGUAGAUUAUAGUAAUGUCAUGGAGGUGGUAUAGUAGAUUAUAGUAAUGUCAUGGAGGUGGUACAGAAGAUUAUAGUAAUAGUAAUGUCAUGGAGGUGGUACAGUAGAUUAUAGUAAUAAUAAUGUCAUGGAGGGGGUACAGUAGAUUAUAGUAAUGCCAUGGAGGAUGGUAUAGUAGAUUAUAGUAAUGCCAUGGAGAUGGUACAGUAGAUUAUAGUAAUGUCAUGGAGGUGGUACAGUAGAUUAUAGUAAUGUCAUGGAGGUGGUACAGUAGAUUAUAGUAAUGUCAUGGAGGUGGUACAGUAGAUUAUAGUAAUAGUAAUGUCAUGGAGGUGGUACUGUAUAUUAUAGUAAUGUCAUGGAGGUGAUAUAGUAGAUUAUAGUAAUGUCAUGGAGGUGGUAUAGUAGAUUAUAGUAAUAGUAAUGUCAUGGAGGUGGUACAGUAGAUUAUAGUAAUAGUAAUGUCAUGGAGGUGGUACAGUACUUGUUAGUAUUGCUAACCUUCGGAUUACAGAGGCUCAGUGGGGUUCCAAAAUAGCGGCCCUGGUGUUCAGUGCUGGUAUUACCGAAUGUCCCUGGAUGGCACAAGGUCGGUAUGAAGGUAUGAUGAUCUUUAUAUCACCCAAACCUACCAGGCUGUGAUAGACUGACAGG
ensembl:lncRNA